UCGAAAUACCGCACUGGUAAGGUGUGGAUCCGAAGCCUCUAGAAGAAUAACAAAGGCUAUCCACACUCUACUCCUACUCAAUACGUCUCCGACGUAUAGAGCGGUAACAUGUAUAUCCAAAUAUUUGAGCUUUGGUAUACGGGGAAACCAAAUCCCUUGGGAAGAUAGGAGAUAUGGCUAAAUUGAGAGGA
rnacentral:ribozyme from 1 species